AGCAAGAUCCUCAAAGACCUUAAGAAAGAAUUUUGUUGCAAUGGUACAGUUGUCCAGGACACAGAACUUGGACAGGUCAUUCAACUCCAGGGUGAUCAGAGGAAGAACGUCUCAAACUUCCUUGUCCAGAAGGAACACAUCAAGAUUCAUGGUUUCUGAGCAACUGUCAGCUCCGUAUCAGAAUCUACAUGCAAAUCAGCUAUAUAUAUUGGUGGUGCAGUAUAUUUAGUUGUGUGCUAGCGCUAGCAGGCGCCACGCUUGCGCGUUCUGAGUAUACACAAAAUCUAGCAUAGCCACCUCUCCGCGUGUGUGUAUGCUUACUACCGUUGUGUUGAAGCUUUGUAAGGAGCACCAUCGCUAGAUGGUUUGUUACCCUCUCCCAUCAAGGUUGAAUAAUAAUAUAUGCUUUCUGAAGCGUGA